rnacentral:rRNA from 1 species
UAAGUGAAGAGUUUGAUCCUGGCUCAGAGUGAACGCUGGCGGCAGGCCUAACACAUGCAAGUCGGACGGCAGCACAUUGGUAGUAAUACCAUGGGUGGCGAGUGGCGGACGGGUGAGGAAUACAUCGGAAUCUACCUUAUCGUGGGGGAUAACGUAGGGAAACUUACGCUAAUACCGCAUACGACCUACGGGUGAAAGCAGGGGACCUUAGGGCCUUGUGCGAUUGGAUGAGCCGAUGUCCGAUUAGCUAGUUGGU